GAUCUUGGGAGGUUGAGAGGUGACCUGAGAGAGGUUUAUAAAAUCAUGAAAUCAUAAGGUGAGUCGAAAAAGGUCUGGUGGGACAGUUCAAAACUAGGGGGCAUAUUUUAUAGUUGAGAGCAGAAGGAUUGCAAAAAGGGCAGUGAGUGGUCAGUGUGUGAAUGAACUGUCAGAUAAAGUGGUGGAAGCAGGUACAAUUACAACGUUCAAAAGACGUCUGGAUAAGUACGCGAAUAGUAAAGGGUUGGAGAUACGGGUCAAACGUAGGCAGGUGGGACUACUUUGGGAACAUGGUCGGCGAGGACUAGUUGGAGCGAAGGAUCUGCUUUCAUGCUGUGCUGGAACACAUUUAGAAAUUUGUAUCCACAUUUAUUUUCCCGUUUAACAUUAGCUUUCCAUGGUUCUAUUUUUCUCGCUGCAUGUCGAUACAAUCUAAGCAUGCAUUAUCAAUCUAUCCAUUACAGUUGUAAAUAAAAGUCUCUCAUAUUGGCUGCCUGGUUGAAAAUGCCAUAUUAGACACUUCGCAUGCUAUGUACAAAUCUUUCCCAAAGCGACUGACAACACUAAGACAUUUCUAUUGAACACGUUUAUUUUGGCGCAUGUUAAUAAAGUUGAUGUCCGUCUCUCUGUUAUCUGUCUGAACACCCAUUUCCAUUCGUCCAUUUCUUUGUAUCUGCGUAUAUACGACGCUGCCUCCUAGACCCAGGGGUUUGCUUGGCUGUUGACAGACGCUGCUUUGGAAACAGUAUUUGCAGUCUAGUCACUUUCACUUACAUCACAGCCAGCGAGAAGCUCUCAGCACUGAACCGGAAGUGUUCAACGAGACUCAUAUUUGUUAGACUUGCACCAAUUGGAGUCCCAGAAAUAAUGGACCAGGACGUUUUCAUGUCACUCCCAUUUUCAUCCGACAGUUUGGUUGCUCCUCCUGUAGUUUCUUAUCCACUGUACGCCAGUUACAUCUAUCCUAUUAAUUAAUUGAUGCAAACACACGUUACCAACACUCCCCUCACUUACCGCCUACCUCGUCGAAAGACAAUCUGGUGAAAUGUCAAACUGAAGAAGAACAAAUUAAGAAGAGUGUUUAAAUCCCAACAUCGAGCUGCCGGUUUUGCAUUUCGAAUUGACAUAAUUAUUGUUUUAAACGGCUUUGUGCAAGUGUGUGCUUCAGCCCCGUUAACUCCACAUAGGGAUUAACGCAUUGUUAAUGAAAUCAGCUUUUUUUUUAUAUAAGUGAAGGUUUCUUUGACAUCCAGUGUUCUAAUGGACCCACAGACAGUGGUGCUCGCCAAUUAAAAGAACUCUCACUCCUCCCCCCACCCCCUCCCUACCCCGCCUUUAAGCUGUAGAGCACAACUCAAUCGCUUUUACAUACCACCUAUUUGUUAUGAAUGGAGAGCAAGAUCUGGUCAAAGCCCCACUUGUAAGGCGGGCUUUGCCUUUUUACUGAUGAUGUCAUUCUCCCCCCAAGUUUGCAUUGGUAGAAGAUGGAGCUGCAUUUCGGUUUAGACUGUAAAACACGCUCACAUCUUCCUUCUCAAGGCAACCUGCGUCCUUUACAGACAGUGAAACUGCUUCCCUUUGCGUGCUGACCCAGUGUCCUGUGCAGAACGGACACCCACGCUCUGAGACCCUAUAUGUAUUCUUAUCAAAACCAACUCACACUGUGCAGAGACGGUCAUUCAUGAAGUGAACUUUUAAUGAUCAUCUAAACUCGCAAGGUUCUGGAUUCUUCCCUUUAACAAGUUAAGCAAUUAUCCAAGAGGCCAGUUAAUGUUGCCUUCGUACUUUCAAAAAUAGCGAGCACAUCUUCCCUAAAGGCACGGAACAACAGCGAUUCAUUAUUGCUGUGGGCGAGGCGCCUGGGCAGUGGAGCUUUCCUCAGCGUCCAGACAAUAAAUAAUGAUUUAUCUACAAUCAAUCUAGAAGAGCAUAUUACCUCUAAAACGUACUCAGACAGAAAACAAAAUGUCGACAGGCACCGGCACUGCAUCAAUAACAAGAAUUGGUGUUCCUCCAAAAAUCAUAAACCUGGACUAAAUUGCAUACAAACAUCUACCCGAGUUUUCGUGAAAACGGGUUGAAACUCUAUCUCGCUAAUUAAAAAAAAAUGAAAAUUGCACUUGAACGUUAAAAACCGAACUUUGGUUUGAAUUGAGAUUAAAUGUAUGACCAGUUUUGUUAAAAAAAA